AAUAAAGGAGAAGACUUGAAUAGCAGACUAAGAGGGGCGUAGCGUCUUUACUAUUGGGAUAACUUGAAUCUUCCUCGAUAGGUACAUAGAACGAAGCUUUCAGUGCAGCAUUCCAUUGAAGACGAGAAAGCAAAGAAAAUACAUAUUGUACCAUUCCUAUAACUCCUAUGGAAUUUUUUUUUUGAAAGUGGAUAUAUCCAUCCUGAAGGCCUUUUCAACAAGAUCGAAAAUCAUGCUUUUCAUCCCAAGUGGAAUGCCAAAAGCAGCAGAAGAUCUAUUUAUUUCAAUUCCGAGGAAGAUCAAAGUCAAGGGGCGAAGCGAAAGCUGUACAAUAUACCUAGAUCCGAGCUAGCCGGGUAUUCACUCGAUUUUCAGUCUAUGAUUGCCUGCUAUAAGUAGAGAGGAGAAGGAGAGGUGAGAGGUAAGGCUAUGUUCCUUUUUUCUUUCUCGAUGGGGGAAA
rnacentral:lncRNA from 1 species